CGCCAACCAGCUAGCCAGACAAUAUAAAAUACAACACCAAUUCAACUAUACCCCCGAAUGGCACCCUACCCCCUCCUUUAAAACAUUUUUCCCCCUUAGUAUGGGCGACAGAAAAGGGAACACUGAGCAACAGAAAAAGUACCGCAAGGAAACGCUGAAAGAGAAAUGAAAAAACCCAGUAAUAAGCCUAAAAAAGCAGAGAUUUAACCUCGUACCUUUUGCAUCAUGAUUUAGCUAGAACCCCCCAAGCAAAGCGAACUUUAGUUUGGGCCCCCGAAACUAAGUGAGCUACUCCGAGGCAGCCUGAUUUAGGGCCAACCCGUCUCUGUGGCAAAAGAGUGGGAAGAACUCUGAGUAGAGAUGAAAGAUCUACCGAACCUAGUUAUAGCUGGUUGCCUGAAAAAUGAAUAGGAGUUCAGCCUCCAGAUUUCUUGACUCCCACCACCCCGACCUCUUAAGAAAUCUAGAGAGUUAGUCAAAGGGGGUACAGCCCCUUUGAAACAAGACACAACUUUAUUGGGAGGGUAAGGGUCAUACUAAAUUAAGGUAACAUGCCCGGGUGGGCCUAAGAGCAGCCAUCCCAGAAGAAAGCGUUAAAGCUCAAGCAUAAAUUCCACUACCAUAUAUAUUGAUAAACUAACCCUAACCCCCUACCCACCACCAGGCCCUCUCAUGCACACAUGAGAGUGACUAUGCUAAUAUGAGUAAUAAGAGGGCAACGCCCCUCUCCCCGCACACAUGUAAAUCGGAUUGAACCCCCACCGAAAAUUAACGGCCCCAAAAAAAGAGGGAAAUGCACACCAAAUUAAAGACAAGAAAAGCCCCCACCAAAUUACCGUUAACCCCACACUGGAGUGCACAUUAAGGGAAAGACUAAAAGAAAAAGAAGGAACUCGGCAAACAUCUUACUUUAAGCCUCGCCUGUUUACCAAAAACAUCGCCUCUUGCUAACCAAGAAUAAGAGGUCACGCCUGCCCUGUGACUAUAUGUUUAACGGCCGCGGUAUUCUAACCGUGCAAAGGUAGCGCAAUCACUUGUCUCUUAAAUAGAGACCUGUAUGAAUGGCAUCACGAGGGCUUAGCUGUCUCCUUUUUCAAGUCAAUGAAAUUGAUCUCCCCGUGCAGAAGCGGGGAUAGACCCAUAAGACGAGAAGACCCUAUGGAGCUUAAGACACCAAGGCAUCUCCCGUAAAACAACCUGAACAAAGAAUCAAACCUAAAAGAACCUAUGCCCUCUGUCUUCGGUUGGGGCGACCCCGAGGAAAUAAAAAACCCCCGAGUGGACUAAGAAUACUUAUAUUCCUACAACCCAGAGCUAGCACCUCUAACUAACAGAACAUCUGACCAAAUAUGAUCCGGCAUUAAGCCGAUCAACGGACCGAGUUACCCUAGGGAUAACAGCGCAAUCCCCUUCUAGAGCCCAUAUCGACAAGGGGGUUUACGACCUCGAUGUUGGAUCAGGACAUCCUAAUGGUGCAGCCGCUAUUAAGGGUUCGUUUGUUCAACGAUUAAAGUCCUACGUGAUCUGAGUUCAGACCGGAGCAAUCCAGGUCAGUUUCUAUCUAUGACAUGUUCUUUUCCAGUACGAAAGGACCGAAAAGAAAAGGCCAAUGCUUUAAGCACGCCUUAUCCCCUCCCCCGAAAACAACUAAAAUAGGCCAAAGGACAUCCCCUUCCCCCGCCAAAGAUAAUGGCUC
rnacentral:rRNA from 1 species